GACGAACGCUGGCGGCGUGCCUAAUACAUGCAAGUCGAGCGGGCUUAAAAAGCUUGCUUUUUAAGUUAGCGGCGGACGGGUGAGUAACACGUGGGCAACCUGCCUGUAAGACUGGGAUAACUUCGGGAAACCGGAGCUAAUACCGGAUAAUCCUUUUCUACUCAUGUAGAAAAGCUGAAAGACGGUUUACGCUGUCACUUACAGAUGGGCCCGCGGCGCAUUAGCUAGUUGGUGAGGUAACGGCUCACCAAGGCGACGAUGCGUAGCCGACCUGAGAGGGUGAUCGGCCACACUGGGACUGAGACACGGCCCAGACUCCUACGGGAGGCAGCAGUAGGGAAUCUUCCGCAAUGGACGAAAGUCUGACGGAGCAACGCCGCGUGAGUGAUGAAGGUUUUCGGAUCGUAAAACUCUGUUGUUAGGGAAGAACAAGUACGAGAGUAACUGCUCGUACCUUGACGGUACCUAACCAGAAAGCCACGGCUAACUACGUG
rnacentral:rRNA from 1 species